UUCACCAUUACUGUGAUUGCUUAUGCUUC
rnacentral:piRNA from 1 species